rnacentral:rRNA from 1 species
GCUGAUGCGUUGUUGGGUAGGGGAGCGUUCUGUAAGCCUGCGAAGGUGACCUGUGAGGGUUGCUGGAGGUAUCAGAAGUGCGAAUGCUGACAUAAGUAACGAUAAAGCGGGUGAAAAGCCCGCUCGCCGGAAGACCAAGGGUUCCUGUCCAACGUUAAUCGGGGCAGGGUGAGUCGACCCCUAAGGCGAGGCCGAAAGGCGUAGUCGAUGGGAAACGGGUUAAUAUUCCCGUACUUGGUGUUACUGCGAAGGGGGGACGGAGAAGGCUAUGUUGGCCGGGCGACGGUUGUCCCGGUUUAAGCGUGUAGGUGUGUGUUCCAGGUAAAUCCGGUUCACUUUAACACUGAGGCGUGAUGACGAGGCACUACGGUGCUGAAGCAACAAAUGCCCUGCUUCCAGGAAAAGCCUCUAAGCAUCAGGUAACAUCAAAUCGUACCCCAAACCGACACAGGUGGUCAGGUAGAGAAUACCAAGGCGCUUGAGAGAACUCGGGUGAAGGAACUAGGCAAAAUGGUGCCGUAACUUCGGGAGAAGGCACGCUGACACGUAGGUGAAGUGAUUUACUCACGGAGCUGAAGUCAGUCGAAGAUACCAGCUGGCUGCAACUGUUUAUUAAAAACACAGCACUGUGCAAACACGAAAGUGGACGUAUACGGUGUGACGCCUGCCCGGUGCCGGAAGGUUAAUUGAUGGGGUCAGCGCAAGCGAAGCUCCUGAUCGAAGCCCCGGUAAACGGCGGCCGUAACUAUAACGGUCCUAAGGUAGCGAAAUUCCUUGUCGGGUAAGUUCCGACCUGCACGAAUGGCGUAAUGAUGGCCAGGCUGUCUCCACCCGAGACUCAGUGAAAUUGAACUCGCUGUGAAGAUGCAGUGUACCCGCGGCAAGACGGAAAGACCCCGUGAACCUUUACUAUAGCUUGACACUGAACAUUGAGCCUUGAUGUGUAGGAUAGGUGGGAGGCUUUGAAGUGUGGACGCCAGUCUGCAUGGAGCCGACCUUGAAAUACCACCCUUUAAUGUUUGAUGUUCUAACGUGGACCCGUAAUCCGGGUUGCGGACAGUGUCUGGUGGGUAGUUUGACUGGGGCGGUCUCCUCCUAAAGAGUAACGGAGGAGCACGAAGGUUGGCUAAUCCUGGUCGGACAUCAGGAGGUUAGUGCAAUGGCAUAAGCCAGCUUGACUGCGAGCGUGACGGCGCGAGCAGGUGCGAAAGCAGGUCAUAGUGAUCCGGUGGUUCUGAAUGGAAGGGCCAUCGCUCAACGGAUAAAAGGUACUCCGGGGAUAACAGGCUGAUACCGCCCAAGAGUUCAUAUCGACGGCGGUGUUUGGCACCUCGAUGUCGGCUCAUCACAUCCUGGGGCUGAAGUAGGUCCCAAGGGUAUGGCUGUUCGCCAUUUAAAGUGGUACGCGAGCUGGGUUUAGAACGUCGUGAGACAGUUCGGUCCCUAUCUGCCGUGGGCGCUGGAGAACUGAGGGGGGCUGCUCCUAGUACGAGAGGACCGGAGUGGACGCAUCACUGGUGUUCGGGUUGUCAUGCCAAUGGCACUGCCCGGUAGCUAAAUGCGGAAGAGAUAAGUGCUGAAAGCAUCUAAGCACGAAACUUGCCCCGAGAUGAGUUCUCCCUGAGACUUAGAGUCUCCUGAAGGA